rnacentral:rRNA from 1 species
GAUGAACGCUGGCGGCGUGCCUAAUACAUGCAAGUCGAGCGAACAGACGAGGAGCUUGCUCCUCUGACGUUAGCGGCGGACGGGUGAGUAACACGUGGAUAACCUACCUAUAAGACUGGGAUAACUUCGGGAAACCGGAGCUAAUACCGGAUAAUAUAUUGAACCGCAUGGUUCAAUAGUGAAAGACGGUUUUGCUGUCACUUAUAGAUGGAUCCGCGCCGCAUCAGCUAGUUGGUAAGGUAACGGCUUACCAAGACAACGAUGCGUAGCCGACCUGAGAGGGUGAUCGGCCACACUGGAACUGAGACACGGUCCAGACUCCUACGGGAGGCAGCAGUAGGGAAUCUUCCGCAAUGGGCGAAAGCUUGACGGAGCAACGCCGCGUGAGUGAUGAAGGUCUUCGGAUCGUAAAACUCUGUUAUUAGGGAAGAACAAAUGUGUAAGUAACUAUGCACGUCUUGACGGUACCUAAUCAGAAAGCCACGGCUAACUACGUG